rnacentral:rRNA from 1 species
GGAGUUUGGGCCGUGUCUCAGUCCCAAUGUGGCCGGUCACCCUCUCAGGUCGGCUAUGGAUCGUCGGCUUGGUGGGCCGUUACCUCACCAACUACCUAAUCCAACGCGGGCCCAUCUCACACCACCGGAGUUUUUCACACUCUGCCAUGCAGCAGUGUGCGCUUAUGCGGUAUUAGCAGUCGUUUCCAACUGUUGUCCCCCAGUGUGAGGCAGGUUGCCCACGCGUUACUCACCCAUCCGCCACUAAGUCACAAAGAUCAUCAUUCCGAAGAAAUCAGUUCUAAGUGCUUCGUUCGACUUGCAUGUGUUAAGCACGCCGCCAGCGUUCAUCCUGAGCCAUGAUCAAACUACU